rnacentral:rRNA from 1 species
AGAAUCAACGCUGGCGGCGUGCCUAACACAUGCAAGUCGAACGCGAAAGCCCCGAAAGGGGCGAGUAGAGUGGCAAACGGGUGAGUAACACGUGGGUGACCUGCCUUCGAGCGGGGGAUAACGUCCCGAAAGGGACGCUAAUACCGCAUAACAUCCUGCCUUUGAAGAGGUGGAGAUCAAAGCUGGGGAUCGCAAGACCCGGCACUUGAAGAGGGGCCCGCGUCUGAUUAGCUAGUUGGUGGGUAACGCCUACAAGGCAACGAUCAGUA